rnacentral:rRNA from 1 species
CCCAUGGAGCUUUACUGUAGCCUAAUAUUGGGUUUCGAUGUUGCAUGCACAGGAUAGAUGGGACACAGGGAAACAAGUGCUUUGGCAUUUGUGGAGUGGCCGUUGGGAUACCAUCCUUGCGAUAUUGGAAUUCUAACCUGCGCCUUUGAAUCAAGGCGGGGGACAUUGUUAGGUGGGCAGUUUGACUGGGGCGGUCGCCUCCUAAAGAGUAACGGAGGCGUUCAAAGGUUCGCUCAGCUUGAACGGAAAUCAAGCAAAAGAGUGCAAACGCAGAAGCGAGCCUAACUGCGAGACUGACGGGUCGAGCAGUAACGAAAGUUGGAGUUAGUGAUCCGGUGGUAUGUGAGUGGAAAUGCCAUCGCUCAACGGAUAAAAGCUACCCUGGGGAUAACAGGCUGAUCUCCCCCAAGAGUUCACAUCGACGGGGAGGUUUGGCACCUCGAUGUCGGCUCAUCGCAUCCUGGGGCUGUAUUCGGUCCCAAGGGUUUGGCUGUUCGCCAAUUAAAGCGGUACGCGAGCUGGGUUCAGAACGUCGUGAGACAGUUCGGUCCCUAUCUGUCGUGGGCGCAGGAUAUUUGAUGGGAGCUGUUCCUAGUACGAGAGGACCGGAGCGGACGUACCUCUGGCGCACCAGUUGUUCUGCCAAGGGCAUAGCUGGGCAACUAUGUACGGAUCGGAUAAACGCUGAAAGCAUCUAAGCGUGAAGCCGACCCAAAGAUAAGAUAUCCCAUUGUUUCAAACAAGUAAGACCCCUUGAAGACUACAAGGUUGAUAGGCACGAUGUGUAAGUGGAGUGAUCCAUUCAGCAAGCGUGUACUAAUAGGUCGAGGGCUUGACCAC